UCGUAGCCGCCCUGGCUGAGGUUGUAGCGCGCCCGCAGCUCUUGCUGCCGCAGUUCCAGCCGCUGCCGCUCGAUCAUCUCGGGCUCAGACUCCAGCGCGUCGAAGACCGCGGCGCCCACCAGCAGGUUUAUGGCUUCUGAGAAGCAAGCAGAGGCAGCCUGUUCUCAGCACCAAACACAAUAAUUAUAAUAGCACUUGCAGUGAUUAAUCAGUCACUCUGAAAGUGGGAUGGCCUUGCUGGAGCAGACCGUGGGGACCACCUGACUUCCAGCUUUCCCUGGCCUUGGUGAUCUCAGAUGUCUGGUGUUCACGUAAUUAGACCAAAGCCUUGGUCUGUCCUCAAAGAGGAGACUGGGUGCUGAUUGCAACCAGUGGCCUUGCUAGGCCAUGCACAGCUUCUGGGCAUUUGCUGGGGGGAAGAGAAGCAAUCUUGAUUCAGGUGCUGGGGUUGAGGAAAACUGAUUCUCUUGGAUCAGGCUGGCAGGGAAGAGAAGAAGGGAGUGGGAUGUUGGGGGGCAGGGGCACAAAGCAGGCCUCGAUGGCUAUGCUCCUCAGAGCCCUGCAUUAAUCAUUUGCCAGGAGAGAUGCUAUGAGGAAGAAGCCACCUUAUUCCCCAUAUUAUUCUGGGAGUGGAGAGAAGAGAACGCUAGACCAGGAGGCUGCUGGAAAGCCUGGAGUGUCAGCCUAAGAAACCUACACGGCUACAUGGAGGGGCACCAAGUGAAUGUGGCUGGAGCUAUUCCACCAUGAGACCAGGGCCCUCCCAGCCAAGCCACUUUCCUAAGCUGGCCUCCUGUCUUGUGCGAUCCACCCACCCUGCACUCCUGGCCUCAUCCGCCUUGCUCAGUUUAGGCCUCUUUGCACCAGCCAUUCUGUGUUCUUUGAAAUGCCUCCAAAUACUCUGGGCUCUUUCUUGCUUUUCUGCCAGAAAUGCAUAUUAUUGCAGGCACAUAUAUAAUUAUACUUAGUGCUCCUAACAGCCCUCUGAAUGGUAGCAUUCCUGUUUUACAGAUGAGAACACUGAGGCUCAAGCAAAGCAACUUGUCUAAGCUCUUAGAGGUAAAUAGAUGACAGAUUCAGGAUUCAAACUCAGAUCAGUUUGAUUCCAGAGUCAGCGCAUUCACUCUUCCGCCACACUCCCUCACUAGAAAAUUAUUGAGGGUAGAGCUAGGCAGCAAUAGGGAAACAGAUUAGAAUGUGCUAUACAGGGCUUGGCACCUAGCUAGAGCUCAAAAAAAUACUAGCUGUGUGAAUGAAUGAGCAGCUCAGAGAAGAGGCUGUAGGAAGGGCCUGGACCCAGCACCUGGGUUUGCCCCAGGAGGAACAGAUGCUUGACUUACUUUAUGUAGGAAACAGAGCAGAACUGUGGGUGAUGUCAAGUGACUUCAGCUUGCACAGGGGCCAGGAGACAGGAAUAAGCUGGACUUGGUGACUGAUCUGAGGUAGAGAUGAGGGAGGAAGCCAAGUGUCCAUCACCUAGCCCAGGCAGGGUCUGAGAAGUACCUCCACAGCUGUGCAUGGGCUGAAGGAUGCCUUUGAAUGGGGUGCCUGGCAUCUCCAGCACACAAGUGAUCUGAAGGGGAAGAGACCAUCCACCCACAUGGAUGGGGGUUGCUUGGCGCUGGGUCAUUCUGGGGAGGUACAGGCAGGUACCUGGGCUCUGUGCUGUGCACAUAUCAGGUGACCAGAGAUGGUGCAGUCCAGUGACCCAUGGAAUGCACAGCAAGUCAGAGAGAUGGAGAUCAGCUGAGAGUUAGCACUCAGGCAGAAGGGCACCAAGCCAUCAGGGAGAUGGAAAAAGUGAUGUCGUUAAGGAACAAUGUGGCCAAAGGAAUGAGCUGUAACUUGCUGGACCCAAAGGACAAAUGGGAAAACAGCUGCCAGAGGCCCAGGGGUGUCUGAUGAUGGCCUGACACUGCCCUGGGGAGGGACUGAGCUCCAGCACAGAAACCAGAAGGAAUCACUCCAUAGGCUCUAUGGAUCUUUUCUAUCUGCUAAUACUUUGCCAAGCAAACCGUCUGGCCUAUUAAUAAAGCCUUGAUGAAUUGAGUCAGGACAGGCCUGGCCAGAGGACUCUGCCCUGUUGCAACCGAGUGGAUCUAAGGGGGCAGUUGUGAGGCAGAGGAAAGAUCUUGGGGUCCAGGGUUGGCAUCCCUGGGUUGGCCCUGCCCCUGCCUAGUGUGUAACCUGCCUUCUUUCAAUGGGUUGGGAGGAUUGUGCCUCUGUUCCCCUCUUCCUGGAUUAGGGCUGGGGAAAACCAACCCCACACCAUAGUCCAGGGAGGAAACCAGGCUUAAGGGAAAGGGAAAGGGGCUUCCCGGGUCUGGCUUAGGGUGGGUGAGCCAUCGAAGGACUGAGCUCAUUAGAGGCCAGCAAGACACUCAGUGGAAAUUUAGAAUCUUGAAAUGAGUGCCAAAGGGAACUUAUGUAUGUGUCUGAGUUGGGGAUGAGGUCAUCUGAUCUAUAUCCCGUUAAUGGGUGAGGAAACAGGCCCAGAGAAGGACAGGGUCAAGUGCAUGCAAUGUGAUGAUGUCACUUGGGUUUUGAUUGAGUUUGAAUCCCAUUGCAUUGCUGGUUUCCUAAUAAGAAAAAUCUCUGCCUAGCAAAGAGAUGAUGGGGUUCCAGGCAAUGGCUAGGGAACUGGACUUGAGCAGAAGUACUUGUGUUGACCUUUGGAAUCUGGAGAAAUGAUGACCUGCUUUUUAAUUGUGGUCAAAAUUGUUUGGAGCCCAAUUUGCCUGGUGGAGCUCCUGCUCACCUCCUGCUACCCUGCAGGGCCUGGCUUUCUGCAGAGUUAAGGGGAUUUUGUAAAACUCUCCUGGGAGUUUUGGGCCAGGGAGCUUUGGGGUCUGACAGGCUGGGGCUCCAAGAGCUGAUUGAUCUCCAGGGGCUUGACAGGGGGAUACAAACGGCCACACCAAGGCCUCUGUCCUCUCACAAAUGGUGAUCCAGACACACACUCUCCUGUUUGCACCCAAACUCAGUUUUAAGAGCACAUUCAGUGCACAUGUGGCCCCACGAUCAUUUUUCCAAGGAACGAGGAUCGUUCCGAGGUCCACCCAGACAGUAGAUGGGUCAGGUGGGACUCCGGAGUUGUUCCCCAUGACACAGCACAGUUUGUACAUCUUCUUCCUCCCUCUGCACACACCUCUAGAGCCUCCCUCAGCCCCUGUGGUCCUCACUGCCAGGCCAGGGCCCCUGAACUCCUCCAGCUUCAAGCCCCACUUCUCGCCUCCCAUGACUGAGCCCCUGCAUUCUUGGGCUGGACCAGCCUUCUCCCUAAGAGUGGGAAGAGGGAUGCAGGAAAGGAGACCCUGUACUUCUGGCUGGAGACAGAGGGAAACGGAGGCAUGCAGCUGGCCUGAGCCAAGGCCAGGAUCCAAUGCUCCUGUCUCCAGCUUCAGCAAGAGAGUCUAGAGCAGCAGGCAAGGGCAGCAGACGGAGCAGCAACGUUCUGUUUCCUUAAGCUCCCAGCUGGGACUGAGAACACCAAAUCCUCUUUGAAAAAACAGAAUAGGGAUUUUAAAAAAUCAAGAUAUUAACCUUUUGAAACUGGACACUCCCCC